UCUCAGGAAAAGAACCAAGCGCAGCGAUUGGAUAAUAAGGCCCUCUGUCUGAACUGCCUGGGUCACAUUGGGAGCAGAGGAAGAGUCAGGGUCACAUACAGGCAGCAUGAAGAAGCAGGAGCAGCCGGGCACAAGGAGAAACCAUCUAACAAAGCUAACAGUUCACAGAGCCUGGCCCGGCUACUCGUGAGUUUGCUGAGAGAGAAGAUCCAGGUCAGGUAGUAGACAGGACUGCGCCAGGGAGCCCCAGUUCUGGCCUGGAGAGAGAUGAUCAUAUGGGGAGUGAGCAUCUAUCAUGCGUGACUGCAAGAUGGCAUUUGGUGACCAACAGUCAAGACAACCUGGAGGGACCCAAGUGGACGCUGAUUGACAUUUUGGAUUGUUUCUGCCUGUGAAGGUGAAGCAGCCUUCUCAGGCUCAUUUCCAGGAAAACUUCAAAGACAACCACAGCCCACACAGGUGAAGAAAACCCCAGGACCACACCAUCCUCCAUGCUGAUGUCCCCCCACCAACCCAACCCAGAGAGGUGGGCUAAGAAUACCAGUGUGGAGAAGGCUGCAGGGGACGAACGUAGGUGCUAAGGACUAAGGGCACACACAAGGCCGAGAGGAUGCCUACAAACAUCCCACGUGAUCGUGUCAGUCUCAGUCAAGGUGCUAAACCAAACCAAAGAAGUUUAUGUAAGAGCUAAGCACAGGGAAAUGGGAGUCGGGUUGCAAGGGUGGUUUCUCCAGACCCAGGGGAGUGGGGGUAUUUUCCAAAGGAGGCCACCUGUGACCACAGAACAUCCUCCUGGGUUACAAGGUUUUGAAGUAUGCAUGCUGGAUCUGUGACCUUGCAGGUCACCAUGCGGAGAAGCGCUCUGUAGGUGACUGCAGGAUAAAGUCUCCAUGAGCCAGAAGCCCCACCCCACAAAAGUGGUGUUAUUACCGGAAUUGAAUUUAUCUCCCCGUGUUACAAUCUCAGGUCGCUCAGCUAUCUGGGAUUCUGACUUCUCCCAAACGUCUCAUCUUCACCAGCAAAUCACUGGACACCCUCUCUGUUUCAAUCGGGUCACCAAUGAAUAUUAGUUAGGGGGUUUUCUUCUGGCAAUUUUCUCUGCUCAUGCAUUUCCAUUGUAAAUUUAAAACCUCAUUCAUUUAGUCAAGAGAUAAGUAUUUAUCGCCACCUACCACAUGCUGGGCAGUAAAGGAAGCUGGCUCCCAGGAUCCCUGAAUGAACAAACCUCCUGAUCAGAGAGGUUCUGCUUUAGUCAUGCUGGGCCAACCUUCCUGUAUAUGGUUACUAUGAACUCUAGACAUGCCCUCCCCCGCCAAAAAUAAAUAAGUUUAUUGGAAUUCACUAGAUUUGUUUGACCACAAGUGGCACAAACUGGAAGGAAGUCAACAUUAAAAAGAAAAAAAUGGCAUCAAGUAACUUUUGCAGGUUUGUAACUCUUUACCUGACGGAAGGCCCCAGUGGAUGUUGUACAUAGUGGCUAAGCUUGGAUAGAAAACUUCUCUUUCACCAUUUGAGCAAUUAAAGGAUAGAAAUUAGAUGAAUGGAUAAAAAAAAAAUGUGGCAUUUAUACACAAUGGAGUAUUACUCUGCACUAAAAAAUGACAAAAUCAUAGAAUUUACAGGGAAAUGGAUGGCAUUAGAGCAGAUUAUGCUAAGUGAAGCUAGCCAAUCCCUAAAAAACAAAUGCCAAAUGUCUUCUUUGAUAUAAGGAGAGUAACUAAGAACAGAGUAGGGUCGAAGAGCAUGAGAAGAAGAUUAACAUUAAACAGG